UAAUACGGAGGGUGCGAGCGUUUAUCGGAAUUACUGGGCGUAAAGCGCGCGUAGGCGGCUUGUUAAGUCGGAUGUGAAAUCCCCGGGCUCAACCUGGGAACUGCAUCCGAUACUGGCGAGCUGGAGUGCGAUAGAGGGGGGUAGAAUUCCUAGUGUAGCGGUGAAAUGCGUAGAUAUUAGGAGGAAUACCGGUGGCGAAGGCGGCCCCCUGGAUCGACACUGACGCUGAGGUGCGAAAGCGUGGGUAGCAAACAGGAUUAGAUACCCUGGUAGUCCACGCCGUAAACGAUGUCUACUAGCCGUUGGAGAUCUAGAAUCUUUAGUGGCGAAGCUAACGCGAUAAGUAGACCGCCUGGGGAGUACGGCCGCAAGGUUA
rnacentral:rRNA from 1 species